rnacentral:rRNA from 1 species
AGAGUUUGAUCAUGGCUCAGGACGAACGCUGGCGGCGUGCUUAACACAUGCAAGUCGAACGGUGAACCUGCUUCGGUGGGGGAUCAGUGGCGAACGGGUGAGUAACACGUGGGCAACCUGCCCUCAGCUCUGGGAUAACUCCAAGAAAUUGGGGCUAAUACUGGAUAUGACCGCUGACCGCAUGGUCUGGUGGUGGAAAGAUUUAUCGGCUGGGGAUGGGCCCGCGGCCUAUCAGCUUGUUGGUGGGGUAGUGGCCUACCAAGGCGACGACGGGUAGCCGGCCUGAGAGGGUGACCGGCCACACUGGGACUGAGACACGGCCCAGACUCCUACGGGAGGCAGCAGUGGGGAAUAUUGCGCAAUGGGCGAAAGCCUGACGCAGCGACGCCGCGUGGGGGAUGACGGCCUUCGGGUUGUAAACCUCUUUCAGCAGGGACGAAGCGAAAGUGACGGUACCUGCAGAAGAAGCACCGGCCAACUACGUGCCAGCAGCCGCGGUAAUACGUAGGGUGCAAGCGUUGUCCGGAAUUAUUGGGCGUAAAGAGCUCGUAGGCGGUUUGUUGCGUCGGCUGUGAAAACCUGAGGCUCAACCUCAGGCCUGCAGUCGAUACGAGCAGACUAGAGUGUUGCAGGGGAGACUGGAAUUCCUGGUGUAGCGGUGAAAUGCGCAGAUAUCAGGAGGAACACCGGUGGCGAAGGCGGGUCUCUGGGCAACAACUGACGCUGAGGAGCGAAAGCGUGGGGAGCGAACAGGAUUAGAUACCCUAGUAGUCC